rnacentral:lncRNA from 1 species
AAUAGCAGCUAUCUUGGGUGUGAGGUGGAGCCCUGCAUUUUCUACUUUUAUACUGCUAACCAUUAGUGACACAUCUUUUCCUGUGCUUGUUCAGAUUUGUAUAUCUGAAGAAAUAUUUUUUCAAGUCAUUUUCCCAUUUUUUAAUGGGGCUAUUCGAUUUUUUUUGUAGACCUGUAGAAAUUUUUUAAACAUUUUGGAUUUUAAUUCCAUCCUAAAUAUAUGCUUUUCAAAUAUUUUCUCCCAAUCCAUAGGUUACCUUUUUGUUUUGUUGAUUGUGUCCUUUGAUGUUGUUUGAAGGAAUUUUGAUUGUCAUGUAGUCUAGUUAAUUUUUAUCCGUGUUUUUGAUGUUAUAACCAAGAAAUCACUGUCAAAUUCAGUGUCAUGAAGCAUUUUCCCUAAAGCCUUAUGUUUAUGUCUUUGAUCUUCUUUUGAGACAGGGUCUUGAUACAUUGCCCAGGCUGAACACCUGGGCACAAGUGAUCUUCCCACCUCAGCCUUUGGAGUAGCUGGACUACAGAUAUGUGUCAUUGUGUGUGACUUAGGUUUAUUUUGGUACAAAAUAUUAGGCCAAACUAACUUCAUACUGUUCCAUGUGGGUAUAUAGCUUUCUAAGCUCAAUAUAUUGGAAAAGAUUGUCCUUUCUCCCUAUUGAGUAGGCUUAGAACCCUUUUCAAAAUCAUUUGACCACAUAUGCCAGGGUUUAUUUCUGAAUUCUGUUCAAUUGAUCUAUAUACCUUUAUGAGAGUAUUACAAUUGGAUACAUACUUUUAAAAUUUUUUAAAUGAAUAUAAUGCUGAAUCCAUUUGGAGGCCUAGGCUAGAAGUUCGUCUGUUCCUCUUUUGGAGCAGCUAAUUAUAUCUAUAUCCAAUUACUUAAAUUAGCCCAUUCACAGGGAAUCUGGGAAACAGCUAAUUCAAUCCAGUAGUCUCAUAAACUGUCCCCUACAACUUCAGGUUGCUGUGGCUGCUAUGAUGCUAUUCCCUGUGGGGCCCUGCUUGAGUUUUCUCUUUCCUAGCUGUAAAUAAUAAAUACUUUUGCCUUUAAUAUAUAUUAAAGUGACAUUAUGUUAUUUCUUGCCAUGAAGUGAACUUUGUUUCAAAAAACAAUCCAUACCAAGAAAGGUAUUAAAAUUGCAGUGGGCAGGGGAAUGUAGCUCAGUUACGCAACAUGUGCAAAGCCCUGGGUUCAAUUCUCAGCAACACAUACACAUACAAAUGCAGUAGAUGUUGGAAAAUUCUUUAGCCAUUUUUCUGACCUAAUUCAACACCAGGAAAUUCACACUGGAGAAAGGCCUAGGAGUACAAGCAGUGCAUUCUUUCCUUGUUCAACAUAACUUAUUACAGCAAAUCUCUCGUGAUUCGUUUUCUAAGGAGGUAGUCAGCAAUUGAUCCCCUACUGUCCACAUUAGUAUUAUUUGCUGUGUUGCCACAUAUAUGGAAACUUUGUGAACUGUGUGGCACUACGGAGUUUGACUGGCACUUUUGU